AAUUAAUUAGCUUAUAUAAUAAAGUUUAUAUUUUGAAAAUAUAAGAAAGAAAAAUCUAUUAAUUU
rnacentral:tRNA from 1 species